rnacentral:misc_RNA from 1 species
AGUGUUUCUCAUCUUCCUCACAAAUGCUACGGCCACCGUGACCUUCCUGAUCUUAAUCUGCUUCCUGAUCCUUUGGAUAUCAAGAAGAUUCUCAAGGACUGCAGGGAAGAAAAAAGGAGCGCCAGAAGCUGGAGGAGCGUGGCCUCUAAUUGGCCACCUCCACCACCUAGGAGGGCCGCAACCGCCCCACAAAGUAUUGGACAACA